rnacentral:rRNA from 1 species
AGAGUUUGAUCCUGGCUCAGAAUGAACGCUGGCGGCGUGCCUAACACAUGCAAGUUGAGCGGUAAGGCCCCUUCGGGGGUACACGAGCAGCGAACGGGUGAGUAUCGCGUGGGUAACCUACCCAGAGAUGGGGGAUAGCCUCGGGAAGCCGGGGGUAAUACCGCAUAUGGUCUCGACGACAUAAGUCGAUGAGAGCAAAGGCGGGGAUCCUUCGGGACCUGUCGUCUUUGGAUGGGCCCGCGUCCGAUUAGCUAGUUGGUGAGGUAAUGGCUCACCAAGGCUGCGAUCGGUAGCCUGGCCUGAGAGGGUGAACGGCCACAUUGGGACUGAGACACGGCCCAACUCCUACGGGAGGCAGCAGUGGGGAAUAUUGGGCAAUGGGGGAAACCCUGACCCAGCGACGCCGCGUGGAGGAUGACGGCCUUCGGGUUGUAAACUCCUGUCAGGUGGGAAGAAAAAGCCUUGUCGGCCAAUACUCGGCAGGAAUUGACGGUACCACCAAAGGAAGCCCCGGCUAACUCCGUGCCAGCAGCCGCGGUAAUACGGAGGGGGCAAGCGUUAUUCGGAUUUACUGGGCGUAAAGCGCACGUAGGUGGCAUGGUAAGUCACAGGUGAAAGCCCUCGGCUCAACCGAGGAACUGCCUGUGAAACUGCCUUGCUUGAGUCCGGGAGGGGGGAGCGGAAUUCCCAGUGUAGCGGUGAAAUGCGUAGAUACUGGGAGGAACACCGGUGGCAAAGGCGGCUCCCUGGACCGGUACUGACACUGAGGUGCGAAAGCGUGGGUAGCAAACAGGAUUAGAUACCCUGGUAGUCCACGCCGUAAACGAUGGGCACUAGGUGCAGCGGGUGUCGACCCCUGCUGUGCCGUAGUUAACGCAUUAAGUGCCCCGCCUGGGGACUACGGUCGCAAGGCUGAAACUCAAAGGAAUUGACGGG